rnacentral:rRNA from 1 species
CCGACGGGAGGCUGCAGUGGGGAAUAUUGGACAAUGGGCGAAAGCCUGAUCCAGCCAUGCCGCGUGUGUGAAGAAGGCCUUCGGGUUGUAAAGCACUUUCAGUGGGGAAGAAAGCCUUGGGGCUAAUACCCUCGAGGAAGGACAUCACCCACAGAAGAAGCACCGGCUAACUCCGUGCCAGCAGCCGCGGUAAUACGGAGGGUGCGAGCGUUAAUCGGAAUUACUGGGCGUAAAGCGCGCGUAGGCGGUCUGAUAAGCCGGUUGUGAAAGCCCCGGGCUCAACCUGGGAACGGCAUCCGGAACUGUCAGGCUAGAGUGCAGGAGAGGAAGGUAGAAUUCCCGGUGUAGCGGUGAAAUGCGUAGAGAUCGGGAGGAAUACCAGUGGCGAAGGCGGCCUUCUGGACUGACACUGACGCUGAGGUGCGAAAGCGUGGGUAGCAAACAGGAUUAGAUACCCGAGUAGUC